GUCAAUGAAGACCUUAACAAGAACAGUCUCAGUGCUGUGGUGUGCUCGAAAACCUGACUGGAAGACAUCAAAACAGCUGUUUAAUGCCAAGAAAUUGUUCAGCUGUUGAAGAAUUAUUUACUUAGAAAUGGGAGGUUUGAUAUGGGCCUAUAAUUGUUCAUUAGUGACAUGUCUAGAUUGUUCUUUUUUAAGAGUGGCUUGAUGAUUGCAGUUUUCAGGGCCCGUGGGAAGAAACCUGAGAAGAGACAUAUUGACAAUUUGAUCUGAGGCCAGAAAAAAAGGCUUGAAAAAGCCUGUUGGCAGAAUAUCAAGGCAGCAGGAGGAGGAUUUCAGAUGUUGUAUAACGUCCUCCAAAUUUAUAUGGUUAAUAGGAUCUAAUUGUGUCAUGCUAUUUGAAUUGAUUUUAAUUGGACACAGGGACAACACAUAUCAUGUACCUGAUAUGGAGGCACUGGUCUAAUUUUCUAAAUUUUGUCAGUGAAGAAGGCGGCAAAUUCAUUGCAGUCCAGAAGAAGAACCGCCUUGCAUUUCUCAGUUCUAAAUUAUAAAUGCGUAGGCUCUCUUUGUAGAUGUCAUAAUGAAUUUGGAGAUUUGUUUUUGCCACCUGCAUUCAGCUUUACAACACUCUCUUUUUUCUUUUCUUACCAGUGUGGCAUUUCUCCAUGGAGAUCUUUUCUUACCAGAGACAGCCUUCACCUUAGUGGGUGCAAUGGCAUCAAUAACAUUUGUAAUUUUAGAAUUGAAGUUAUCUACAAGCUCGUCCACUGAGACCCAAGAGAGGGCGGGUGUGGAAGAGAAUGCAUGAAUACAUAUUUCACUGGUGUUUUCAGUGAUAUACUGUUUUGUGAUUACCACUGUUUGAACAUUUAUGUGCACGGAGAUAGCACUCUCAAAGAAAAGACAGGAAUGAGCAACGUCAGUCACCACAACCUUAGAAAUGUUCAGACUUUUGGAGAUGAUUAAGUCCAGAGUUUGCCUCUUGAUGUGUGUGGACUCACAUGCUGAGUCAGUCCAUAGUUAUCAAGAACACAACACAGUUCUUUAGUCUCUCUGUCCUGGGGGCUGUCAACAUGGAUGUGAAAAUCACCAACCAUAACUACACAGUCAAAGUCAAUACAGAUUAUAGACAGCAGUUCAUUGAAGUCAUCAAAGGUAGUAUUAAUAGUAUUUAGAAAGGUCUGCCAAAAUUACGGACAAAACAUGAUUUCUCAGAAACAAAGAUUUGGACAGAAAUUCUGCAGUGACAUUAAAACUAACCAAUCAUUUCAGCUCUAAGAUUAGAAUUCAAACUGAACAGUACAGCAGCAAAUACAGCACUUACAGUAAUUAAUUUAAGUAGCUUUUCUUCCUUAAUUGAAUCCUUAUACAAAGUUCUGUGAGAUCUGAACUAAUCACAAAGACAAAAUACUGUGAGUACUUUGAUUAAUACGCAUAUUAGAAUUUCUGAUGAAACCAGAGCAGAAAUCGGAGCUAAAUAACAACAUCCAUGAAAACCAAAUUAUAUUACCAUUAUAUUAGAUCUGGCUUAAGUUGCAGGACUAGUGUUUUCACUGGUCUCAGUGGGCUGUGGUCCUGAAUCCACUCUGCUGCUCUGGUCCUCCACUCUGGCUGCUGUCUGCAGAGUUACUGCUGAUAAAUGCAGAACUGGUGAUUUAGAAAAAGCUUUUCAGACCUUCCUUUAUGUGUUUAGCUUUGAUAUUCGAGUCAGCCACAGUCCACUGCUCGCUUGGCCAGCGUUAAAAUUAUGUUAAAAAAUACUUUCACAGAAACAGUAAGGAGGCAGCUACCGAACAGAAUGUGACUGGCUGGGAGAGGGAGACAGGGAGAAGACAGCCAUCCAGAACUUCCAAGACAGCUCACUCGACUGGGCCGAACACCAGAGCCCAGCUCCCUCUCUCCCUCUCUGGUGCUUUCUUUCCUUUCAUUGAGCCUUUCACCCAAUUUGCUGCAGGCAACCUCCCGGUACUCCAGAUGGCCACUCCGUCCUUGGCCACCAUCGUCUUUGAAUUACCCGCCCUUUACCAACCUGCACACAGUCUGAGGUCCUCAGGCAGGAACCUGUUGGCACCUGUUGUCAAGGUGAAGACUAAAGGGGACAGAGCUUUUGCUGUCUUCAACUCUUCAGCGCGGAGAUUUCUUGCUUCAGGUAUGAAGUUUGAUGUUUCACCUGCAGGGAGGAGUCCGUCUCUGCAGACCAUCAGCAGCAUCUGGACACCAGAAGCGGUGGGAAUCUGUCCCGUGCAAAUAGGGCUCUGCUGGUGUCCCCCAUGCUCUCUUGUAUAGAUAACUUCUUCAAACGCUUCUUUGAAAUAUUAACCUCACAUAGCUCAGAAGCAGCGUUUCUCAAGAGGAUAAACCCCUGGGGAGGUCUGGCAGAGUGCGACGUUUGAUCGCUGUUGGAGUUCUGGUGUGUUGAUCCACUAUGGCGACAUACACACUGUCAAUCCUGGGCUGUGAUUAUUUAUGAAUGAGAGUGAAUGUCAUUACAUUAGACGAAAGUGACAAAACUCUGGGUACAUCCCAAAUCCCAAUUUGAUCGCACUUUUCUUGACCUGGAAAUCGUCCCGGUCUGCCAUCAUGAAGGAAGCUCGAGUGCUUUUAUUUCUGCUGUGAGGCUCGAGGAGGGUUCUCUGAGACACGAAGCAACAGCUGAUGUUAUGUAUUUACUUUUACUCUUAUGGACUUUAUGUGCUUAUGUUUACUAGAUUAAUUGUACUUCCUAUAGGGACGGAUUUUGCAGAUUUUUGUGAAUCCAGUUUUCGUGUAACUGCACUAAUUCAUUUGAAUGCUUUUGUUCUAACUCUUGUUUAUGGAAUCUCAUCGAUUUCUGAUUUGUAAUCACUAUCAUUGAAUUUCUUGUCCAAUACUAUUAAUACUGUUUCACUUUAUUAAUAUGACGGCGGGACUGUUUCUGCUGGACUGCCGUGUGUUUGUGUGACAUCUCUACACUCUGUCUAAUGUCUUAUCAGAAACUCCAGUUCUUCUUCUCAUUUUUCUCCAGUUUCUCUCCUUUUUCUUCUCGUCUAUGUACGUACAGAAAGAGGACCGAGUGCAAACUGCUGCUGUAGCCUAUAGUACUCAGAAACUGAUGUCACAUAAUGCUGCAUUCAGGUUGCUCAGGGGUUAAUCAUGGGUACAAUACACUUCAUUACAAAUUGAGAAAUGUAACGUGAACGACCAGUCGAGCAGGUUGCAUGAUGGGAGAAACUCCAGCCACACAGUUCCACAGUGUGCUGCUUCAUUGGUCAUUUUCAUUAUGUGUUUUGUCUCUCCGGCAGUAAACGUACAUUUAUUUCAAGUUCCUUUCAGUCACAGUCUAAAAUUUUGCUUUACUUUGCGUUCAGUCUAGGGCUGCAGCUAACAAUUAUUUUCAUUAUCGAUUAACUUGCUGAUUAUUUUUCUGAUUAAUUGAUUCAUUGUUUAGUCUAUGAAAUGUCAGAAAAUACCCAGUUUCCCAGAGUUUAGUUCAUUUAUCCACUGGCCGUUUUUCACAUUAUCGUUUAGUUUUGAUUGGUUGAUGAAAAGUGUAAAACAUUUCGUCAAGUGGUUGCUUUUCAUUUAGUUUUCAUAUUGUUUUCGUAGUGAAACAAUGACUAUUUUUCACUGAGCCGUGUUUGAGGCGUACGAUUUUAACUGAUACCUGCCAGCCAAUCAGAAAUGAGUAUUAUAUGCAGCUGUAGCGGACCUUACAUGGACUAAACGACAAAAUUCACCAAAUCCUGUUUGGUAGUUGCUAUUAAGCACGCUGUACACAGGGUUAUGUUGACUCGCUCCCUUUAAGGCAUCUGUGGGUAACCAUAGCAACAGCAGCGCUGGACGGUGUAAAAGCAGAUGUUGUGUCACCGCCUUUGUUUGGGGUAUUGUUAGUGUGUGUAUGAAUUAACAGCCACACAGGGUGCAGCCAAAAGAGAACUUAUCAGUCUCAUUAAUCCAUGCAACUCCUACACAGCCUUGGUAUAAUAAUAUUUUUGUCUCCCACUUUCGACCACAGCAGCCAGUAGCUUUUCUGUAACUUCUAAAGCAAAAAUGCUCAAUCAUUAACAGAGGAUCAAAUUGUGCGGAUGCAGGAGCAAUCAAACAGAAAGCUCUACAGGAGGGCCAGGCUCUUUUUUCUCUUAAUAAAUCCUUCUAUCAA